GGGUUGUGAGGUUAAGCGACUAAGCGUACACGGUGGAUGCCCUGGCAGUCAGAGGCGAUGAAGGACGUGCUAAUCUGCGAUAAGCGUCGGUAAGGUGAUAUGAACCGUUAUAACCGGCGAUUUCCGAAUGGGGAAACCCAGUGUGUUUCGACACACUAUCAUUAACUGAAUCCAUAGGUUAAUGAGGCGAACCGGGGGAACUGAAACAUCUAAGUACCCCGAGGAAAAGAAAUCAACCGAGAUUCCCCCAGUAGCGGCGAGCGAACGGGGAGCAGCCCAGAGCCUGAAUCAGUGUGUGUGUUAGUGGAAGCGUCUGGAAAGGCGCGCGAUACAGGGUGACAGCCCCGUACACAAAAAUGCACAUGCUGUGAGCUCGAUGAGUAGGGCGGGACACGUGGUAUCCUGUCUGAAUAUGGGGGGACCAUCCUCCAAGGCUAAAUACUCCUGACUGACCGAUAGUGAACCAGUACCGUGAGGGAAAGGCGAAAAGAACCCCGGCGAGGGGAGUGAAAAAGAACCUGAAACCGUGUACGUACAAGCAGUGGGAGCACGCUUAGGCGUGUGACUGCGUACCUUUUGUAUAAUGGGUCAGCGACUUAUAUUCUGUAGCAAGGUUAACCGAAUAGGGGAGCCGAAGGGAAACCGAGUCUUAACUGGGCGUUAAGUUGCAGGGUAUAGACCCGAAACCCGGUGAUCUAGCCAUGGGCAGGUUGAAGGUUGGGUAACACUAACUGGAGGACCGAACCGACUAAUGUUGAAAAAUUAGCGGAUGACUUGUGGCUGGGGGUGAAAGGCCAAUCAAACCGGGAGAUAGCUGGUUCUCCCCGAAAGCUAUUUAGGUAGCGCCUCGUGAAUUCAUCUCCGGGGGUAGAGCACUGUUUCGGCAAGGGGGUCAUCCCGACUUACCAACCCGAUGCAAACUGCGAAUACCGGAGAAUGUUAUCACGGGAGACACACGGCGGGUGCUAACGUCCGUCGUGAAGAGGGAAACAACCCAGACCGCCAGCUAAGGUCCCAAAGUCAUGGUUAAGUGGGAAACGAUGUGGGAAGGCCCAGACAGCCAGGAUGUUGGCUUAGAAGCAGCCAUCAUUUAAAGAAAGCGUAAUAGCUCACUGGUCGAGUCGGCCUGCGCGGAAGAUGUAACGGGGCUAAACCAUGCACCGAAGCUGCGGCAGCGACGCUUAUGCGUUGUUGGGUAGGGGAGCGUUCUGUAAGCCUGUGAAGGUGUACUGUGAGGUAUGCUGGAGGUAUCAGAAGUGCGAAUGCUGACAUAAGUAACGAUAAAGCGGGUGAAAAGCCCGCUCGCCGGAAGACCAAGGGUUCCUGUCCAACGUUAAUCGGGGCAGGGUGAGUCGACCCCUAAGGCGAGGCCGAAAGGCGUAGUCGAUGGGAAACAGGUUAAUAUUCCUGUACUUGGUGUUACUGCGAAGGGGGGACGGAGAAGGCUAUGUUGGCCGGGCGACGGUUGUCCCGGUUUAAGCGUGUAGGCUGGUUUUCCAGGCAAAUCCGGAAAAUCAAGGCUGAGGCGUGAUGACGAGGCACUACGGUGCUGAAGCAACAAAUGCCCUGCUUCCAGGAAAAGCCUCUAAGCAUCAGGUAACAUCAAAUCGUACCCCAAACCGACACAGGUGGUCAGGUAGAGAAUACCAAGGCGCUUGAGAGAACUCGGGUGAAGGAACUAGGCAAAAUGGUGCCGUAACUUCGGGAGAAGGCACGCUGAUAUGUAGGUGAAGUCCCUCGCGGAUGGAGCUGAAAUCAGUCGAAGAUACCAGCUGGCUGCAACUGUUUAUUAAAAACACAGCACUGUGCAAACACGAAAGUGGACGUAUACGGUGUGACGCCUGCCCGGUGCCGGAAGGUUAAUUGAUGGGGUCAGCGCAAGCGAAGCUCUUGAUCGAAGCCCCGGUAAACGGCGGCCGUAACUAUAACGGUCCUAAGGUAGCGAAAUUCCUUGUCGGGUAAGUUCCGACCUGCACGAAUGGCGUAAUGAUGGCCAGGCUGUCUCCACCCGAGACUCAGUGAAAUUGAACUCGCUGUGAAGAUGCAGUGUACCCGCGGCAAGACGGAAAGACCCCGUGAACCUUUACUAUAGCUUGACACUGAACAUUGAGCCUUGAUGUGUAGGAUAGGUGGGAGGCUUUGAAGUGUGGACGCCAGUCUGCAUGGAGCCGACCUUGAAAUACCACCCUUUAAUGUUUGAUGUUCUAACGUUGACCCGUGAUCCGGGUUGCGGACAGUGUCUGGUGGGUAGUUUGACUGGGGCGGUCUCCUCCUAAAGAGUAACGGAGGAGCACGAAGGUUGGCUAAUCCUGGUCGGACAUCAGGAGGUUAGUGCAAUGGCAUAAGCCAGCUUGACUGCGAGCGUGACGGCGCGAGCAGGUGCGAAAGCAGGUCAUAGUGAUCCGGUGGUUCUGAAUGGAAGGGCCAUCGCUCAACGGAUAAAAGGUACUCCGGGGAUAACAGGCUGAUACCGCCCAAGAGUUCAUAUCGACGGCGGUGUUUGGCACCUCGAUGUCGGCUCAUCACAUCCUGGGGCUGAAGUAGGUCCCAAGGGUAUGGCUGUUCGCCAUUUAAAGUGGUACGCGAGCUGGGUUUAGAACGUCGUGAGACAGUUCGGUCCCUAUCUGCCGUGGGCGCUGGAGAACUGAGGGGGGCUGCUCCUAGUACGAGAGGACCGGAGUGGACGCAUCACUGGUGUUCGGGUUGUCAUGCCAAUGGCACUGCCCGGUAGCUAAAUGCGGAAGAGAUAAGUGCUGAAAGCAUCUAAGCACGAAACUUGCCCCGAGAUGAGUUCUCCCUGACUCCUUGAGAGUCCUGAAGGAACGUUGAAGACGACGACGUUGAUAGGCCGGGUGUGUAAGCGCAGCGAUGCGUUGAGCUAACCGGUACUAAUGAACCGUGAGGCUUAACCUUACAACGCCGAAG
rnacentral:rRNA from 1 species